GACGAACGCUGGCGGCGUGCUUAACACAUGCAAGUCGAACGGAAAGGCCCCUUUGGGGGUACUCGAGUGGCGAACGGGUGAGUAACACGUGCGUAACCUGCCCUUGACUUCGGGAUAACUUCAGGAAACUGGGGCUAAUACCGGAUAGGAAUCCUUGCUGCAUGGUGGGGGUUGGAAAGCUUCGGCGGUUUUGGAUGGACUCUCGGCUUAUCAGCUUGUUGGUGGGGUAGUGGCUUACCAAGGCUUUGACGGGUAGCCGGCCUGAGAGGGCGACCGGCCACAUUGGGACUGAGAUACAGCCCAGACUCCUACGGGAGGCAGCAGUGGGGAAUAUUGCACAAUGGGCGGAAGCCUGAUGCAGCAACGCCGCGUGCGGGAUGACGGCCUUCGGGUUGGAAACCGCUUUCAGCAGGGGCGAAGCUUGUGGUGACGGUACCUGCAGAAGAAGCACCGGCUAACUACGUG
rnacentral:rRNA from 1 species